AUUGAACGCUGGCGGCAGGCCUAACACAUGCAAGUCGAGCGGAUGAAGGGAGCUUGCUCCUGGAUUCAGCGGCGGACGGGUGAGUAAUGCCUAGGAAUCUGCCUGGUAGUGGGAGAUAACGUCCGGAAACGGGCGCUAAUACCGCAUACGUCCUGAGGGAGAAAGUGGGGGAUCUUCGGACCUCACGCUAUCAGAUGAGCCUAGGUCGGAUUAGCUAGUUGGUGGGGUAAAGGCCUACCAAGGCGACGAUCCGUAACUGGUCUGAGAGGAUGAUCAGUCACACUGGAACUGAGACACGGUCCAGACUCCUACGGGAGGCAGCAGCGGGGAAUAUUGGACAAUGGGCGAAAGCCUGAUCCAGCCAUGCCGCGUGUGUGAAGAAGGUCUUCGGAUUGUAAAGCACUUUAAGUUGGGAGGAAGGGCAGUAAGUUAAUACCUUGCUGUUUUGACGUUACCAACAGAAUAAGCACCGGCUAACUUCGUG
rnacentral:rRNA from 1 species